GUGGACAUCUGGGUUGGCUGCCUCAGCCAGGUCCCCUGUGGCGAGUGCAUGGCAGGCCUCAGUACUCCCGAGAGGGCAGAAAGCACACAGGUGGUGCUGAGAGCUUGCUGGUGCCGGGUGCCAGCAGCUGAUGCAGGGCUUACCCGGGUGAAAGAAGAAACAGUCCCUGCUCUAGAGAAGCUCACAGUUUAACAGGGAGACAGACAUGCCAACAAAUAUCUGUAUUAAGUUUUGUAAUUAUAGUGUGUACAAAGGUUACAGGAAGACAGAAGAAGGAGAAAAUAGUCAAUGUAUUUAAUCAUCCCAGCAACCGUGGGAGACAGGAAUUGUUGGCUCAUUUUCACAGAUGGGGAAACUGAGCUAAAACUCCUCAUGAAAUCUACAUGGAUGGAUGACAUGCAGGAAGAAACAUAAGCCAUUUCUUCUCAGAGUUCACCAUAUCACUAAGAAUGAUCAGAAUGAUUGUGAAGCACCGGAAAACUCCUAAACAUGAGAAAAAGAAGAUAAUUUAGAGUUUGUUUAUCAGAGCAUCCAGGUCUUAACAACUGUCUCCCCCUACCCUCCUCAACAGAAGUAACUGAAGCAAGGCACCUAUGAACUCUGCCUUCCUGGCUCAGAAGCCAGUGCUGACCAGGUCAGUAAAUACAGGAAGAAUCUAUCUCCCACCG
rnacentral:lncRNA from 1 species